ensembl:lncRNA
ACCCGGCUCAGUGUAGUUGCGCUAAUGUGCCUCCGCGCUGUACGAGAGGGCAGGUAUUUACAAAGGAAAAUGUGCCGCCAGUAAAUGCGGCCUUUCUGAGGCAGCUAAGACCCAAUUUUAUGUAACGUUAACAUAAACCACAUUACCUUGAGGUUGUGGUGUAAUCCAGAAAGUACGACCGGGCAAACCUUGUAGCUAAUGUAAGCAUGCGCAAAAUUUCUAAUAAGCAGCUAACGUUACACCACUGAUAUUAGAACAUUUAACCAUGGCAGUCCCGCCCGCCAAAAUCUUCGGUAUGCUAACGUUAGACAUGCUAACUGGACACCAACAUUACAGAAAUGUAAGCUAACGUUGACAUACUUGCCAGUAAAGAUAUCUCAAGGCUAUUUUUGCUCUUAGAAGUUUAACACAUUGUUGGAUUCAAACAAUUGUUUCACAAAACGUAAAUUAAUCAAUAAAUGUUCAUUAAUUCUCGCUAACAUUAGCAUGACGAAAGCUGGCUCGGGUCAGUCAGUUCAUGUUAAAUACUUAGUCACUUAAAUUAGCUAAUAGAACCAAAUGUAACCAAUUCAGGUGGACUAUUCUAUAUCCAACAUAUUAAAAUCUUUGUACACACAAAAUCCAUCCAAAUCAUGUAAUGUUAAUGAAAGAAAAUGGAGGCCUGAGCCAAAUUUUGUGCUUUCCAUUGGGACAAAAAUCAAAUAUCGUUCUUUAUUGAUUCUUUAAAGCCUUUGCUUUCAUGAUCAAGAUGAACGGGUCAUAGAAAAAGAAACGGUAUAGCAAAGUGUUUUAUGCACCAUGUGAAGUGGAUGAGCUCCAUCAAUACAAAUACACCGUCUACAUACACGUUUACUUUAAAGGCUCAUUUCUAUAUUCUAGAUACCUUCACUGUAAACAUAGACAGGUGACAUCAGGAUUUCUCCAUGUUCCAUGAUCCAUGUUCCAUGUUCCAUGUUCCGUGCUCCAUGUUCCAUGUUCCGUGUUCCGUGUUCUAUGCUCCAUGUUCUAUGUUCUAUGCUCCAUUCACCACAGCAUUAGAAACACAGUCUGAGGCACAUUCAGUCAGUUAGUUUCAAACCUCACAUCUACACACACUGAAGUUUUCCGGACAGAAAUCUGCAGAAAGCAAUCGUGACGCCUCAGGAGUCUGAAGAGGAGAUGAAGACGCGUUUUGCUGCACUCAACAGAGCUCGAGGUAAGUGAGGAAUCCAGACAGACUGCAGCCGUACUGCUGUAAAUCACGUGUUUGUACUAUCGGGUAACGGAAGCUGUGACGUGGAGUUAGUACGUCGAGAUAAACCUCUGAUUCCUGCUGUUAUCAUGUACAUGUACACAGGGACACUAGCGUAUAAAAGUACUUACACAGGAACACUCACGUAUAAAAGUACUUACACAGAGACACACACAUAUAAAAGUAAUUACACAGAGACACACACAUAUAAAGUUACUUACACAGAGACAGUCACAUAUAAAGGUAUUUAUACAGAGACACACACACAUAUAACAGUACAUAUAACACACUUACCGUGUUGGUAUGCACAGAGACGCACUAAACAUAAAAAGCAUACACAGAAAUACACCUUAACAACCACAAAUAUAUAAUGUACACUUACACACACAUACAAACAUUAAAUAAUUAAACAAAAGUAUCAAAUUAAAAUAAUUGGAUCUAUGAAUGUUGUCUCACAUCCUGAUGAUCCUCCUCACGUCUCUUCUCCUUGUCUCUGCAG